rnacentral:rRNA from 1 species
GACGAACGCUGGCGGCGUGCUUAACACAUGCAAGUCGAACGGUAACAGGCCCUUCGGGGUGCUGACGAGUGGCGGACGGGUGAGUAAUGCUUAGGAAUCUGCCUAGUAGUGGGGGAUAACCCGGGGAAACUCGGGCUAAUACCGCAUACGCCCUACGGGGGAAAGGCGGGGACGUUUCGGCCUCGCGCUAUUAGAUGAGCCCAAGUCGGAUUAGCUAGUUGGUAGGGUAACGGCCUACCAAGGCGACGAUCCGUAACUGGUCNGAGAGGACGACCAGUCACACCGGAACUGAGACACGGUCCGGACUCCUACGGGAGGCAGCAGUGGGGAAGUAUUGGACAAUGGGCGGAAAGCCUGAUCCAGCGACGCCGCGU